rnacentral:lncRNA from 1 species
UACCUCUGUCUCCAGAAAUGGUUUAGCACCAAGAAAAAGUUACAUUCCACUGUUUUUGGAGUCCAGUGAAUUGGAAAGCAGGUUAUUCAAAUGCUACUUGUAGUGUUCCUUGAGCUUAAUGGAGUUGGAGAAGAGAACAUGAGCUGGCUCUAGCUGUGGAGGAGAGCAGACUGGGACAGGGACACGAGCUGGUAAGAGCACUGUGCAGAAGCUUCUGCAGAGGAAGCCAUUUCUGCUGCGGUUGAGCCCUCGCCUGGAGCUCAGCAAACCUGCAGGGGUUUCAUGUGGUACCUGUUCUGGGGCACCACCUGCUGGUGCCUCCUCAUCUGUCUGCUGAAUAUGGGGAAAGUUAACCUUGACGUCCUGUCUGCCUCCAUGACUACUCAGAAGUCCUGGUCCCCAGUUCAUCAGACUAACAGCUGAAGACAAGUUACUGGUACCGUAGCAGGG